GGUCCGCGGUUGAAUUUUUCUGAAGAGAACUUCUAUAAUUAUUUAUUCCAAAUAUUUUUGUACUUCCAUUAGUCUAAAUUCGAAUAAUAAAUAGUAAUUCUUAUUCCAAAUAAGAAUCUAGUAUUAUGAACUAAAUAAUUUGGUAUACCUUCGAAAGAGAUCGAAAUAUAUAUUGUUGUUUAUGGCUUUCUUCAAUUGUAUUUUAGAAGUUUAUAAAUGUUAUGUAAAAUUGAGAAUAAAAUUAUUUUAGACUGUCUAACUGAAUUUAAAUGUUGUAAACAAUUGGCUUAUAAAAUAAAAUAAAAUAUAUAUUUUUCAGAACAUAGUAUAGAAUUUAUAAAAUAACUAACACCAAUAUUAAUAGUUAUCACCAGUCGCGGGUUGGGCUGAUUCAAAAUAUGACACAAUUAUUUAAGAUAAUAUAUUCUAUAAAAUUCACAAUGGUGGAGGUCUUUUCAAAUAUGGUCUCAUUAAAGUUUUAUAAUAAUAAAUAAUAUGUAAAAUUUGUAUAAUUAAAAAAAUCAUUGUAAUUUUCACAAAUAAGUCAAUCUCUAAUUAUUCUUAAAAAAUCGAAACAUUUUUAUAUUGUUUUAUAAUUUUACAUAUAAAACACAUUUACAUAAUAUGAUACAUAAUCUUAAAGACAUCAAAUAAUCUUUAAAAAACAUGAUGAAAGGGAAAGUUUAGAUUAUUUAGUAUAUAAUCCAUGACAAUAAUGAUUUUUAUUUGAAUAUAAACAGAAUGUUUUGGUAAACUAAUACUAUACCAUAUUUACACCAUUAUUAACUGCAGAAUUUUUAUUCUAAAAUAACUAAAAAGACAUGAUUUGGUGUUUUUACGUCUUAUAGGAAACAAUAUAUUAUGGACAUUGACAAGGUUAUUGAUGAUGAGAAAUGUUUGUCUUAUUGAUUUUGAAGAUGAGUUGAGCAAUAAUGCAAAAUAUAUUACUGACACUGUUGUCGUGUUGUAUCUUGGCAAAUGGUAGUUUAGGCUACUAUUUGUUUAAAUGAUUUUCACGUAAAACGUAUCUUUUUGGUAACCAAUAUAUAAUAUAAUGGCCGUCUCGGUGCAAGUUCUAAUUAGAUACAUAAUUUGAAAAUCUUAUGUCAUAUUAUAUUCUAUAUUAAAAUAUUCCAUACAAUAUUUUGACUAUUAUAUAUAUAUAUAUAUAUAUUUGUUAAGGAAAUCUAUGUUUUUCCUAAUAUAUAUAUAUAUUCUUAAGUAAAUCUAUAUUUUUCAUAGAACUAAGAAUAUAUUUUUAUUUAUUUAUGAAUCUAUAAAAUAUUUUUUUGAGAAAAUAAGAACUGUGAUACAAACUAUUACUUAUAAUAUUAUUUCACUUCUGUAAAUGUAUGCAUGAAUUUCAUUAUAUCUAUAUAUUACCUAUUAAGAAUUGAAGAAUAUUUUUUUUAACUAUAUGAAAUUAGUAAAUAAAAUUGUAGUUGCUAAUUACUUUUGGCCACAUAUUUAAAUUUUCAAAAUUAGACACACACACAUAUAUAUAUAUGUAUAUAUAUGUCAUUAAUUGGUAAUUUUAUGUGGUGAUAUAUCCUAUCAGAACUAAAAUGAAAAUUUGGAACAACUAUUUAACAUAAAUGUUUUGGAAUAUAACGAAAAUAAAAAUAAUAAAAAAUUAUAAUUUCUAGUUUUUCGGAUCAUCUUAGUAAAACGUUUUUUGUGGCAUAUAUACCUGUCCAUAUUUAAGGUUAUUGAAGAUAAAUUAGUAAAUGCUAAUUUGGUAGCUAAUCUAUUGCUAGUUGAUUUUAUCCACAUAUUUAAUCAUUCAACGUUGCGUAUAUAUGGUUGUUGCUAUAUGGUAUUUUAAGGUGAUGACAUAUCGUAACAAAAAUUAAGAUAAAUGUUUGGAAUAAAAUUUUAAAAAAAAACUAACCAAUCAUUUUAAAACUGUUUUUCCGGAUAAUCCUAAAAAUAGUUUUCAGAGACUUAUAUAUAUGUAUAUGUUCACAUUUAAGGUUUUCUACAAUAAACACAUAAAAUAUUUAUUUACAGUGAAGAGUUAUAAUGUCAGCAUCUAAAUUUGCUAUAUUUUGUAUUGUUCUGGUGUUUCUUGCUAGUUGUCAUGAAUGUAUGUCAUAUAUUUCUUACAUUUCGUCUAAUCCCCUUUUAUUAUUAUCAUUAAAAUAAUAAUAAUAUCCUCUAUCAUCUUUUUAAUUUUUUUAAGUUUUAAAUUUUAUACAGGUGCCGACCUCAACAGAGGGCCCAAACCAACAUGCUCUAAAACACCAAAGAAUGUUUGGUGUUGCAGCAACAAUUCACACUGUCGGGAAACCAAAGCGCUAUGUGAGAAGAUUUGUUGGGUCCGCGGUUGAAUUUUUCUGAAGAGAACUUCUAUAAUUAUUUAUUCCAAAUAUUUUUGUACUUCCAUUAGUCUAAAUUCGAAUAAUAAAUAGUAAUUCUUAUUCCAAAUAAGAAUCUAGUAUUAUGAACUAAAUAAUUUGGUAUACCUUCGAAAGAGAUCGAAAUAUAUAUUUUUGUUUAUGGCUUUCUUCAAUUAUAUUUUAGAAGUUUAUAAAUGUUAUGUAAAAUUGAGAAUAAAACUAUUUUAGACUGUUUAACUGAAUUUAAAUGUUGUAAACAAUUGGCUUAUAAAAUAAAAUAAAAUAUAUAUUU
rnacentral:lncRNA from 1 species